rnacentral:rRNA from 1 species
CUUGCAUCAGAUGACGAGUGGCGCACGGGUGAGUAACGCGUAUACAAUCUACCUUUUACAGGGGGAUAGCCUUUAGAAAUGAAGAUUAAUAUCCCAUAGUAUGUUAACUUGGCAUCAAGAUAACAUUAAAGUUUCGGCGGUAAAAGAUGAGUAUGCGUUCUAUUAGUUAGUUGGUAAGGUAACGGCUUACCAAGACCGCGAUAGAUAGGGGCCCUGAGAGGGGGAUCCCCCACACUGGUACUGAGACACGGACCAGACUCCUACGGGAGGCAGCAGUGAGGAAUAUUGGACAAUGGGCGCGAGCCUGAUCCAGCCAUGCCGCGUGCAGGAAGACUGCCCUAUGGGUUGUAAACUGCUUUUAUACAGGAAGAAACCUUUUCACGUGUGAAAAGCUGACGGUACUGUAAGAAUAAGGAUCGGCUAACUCCGUGCCAGCAGCCGCGGUAAUACGGAGGAUCCAAGCGUUAUCCGGAAUCAUUGGGUUUAAAGGGUCCGUAGGUGGAUAAUUAAGUCAGGGGUGAAAGUUUGCAGCUCAACUGUAAAAUUGCCUUUGAUACUGGUUAUCUUGAAUUAUUGUGAAGUGGUUAGAAUAUGUAGUGUAGCGGUGAAAUGCAUAGAUAUUACAUAGAAUACCAAUUGCGAAGGCAGAUCACUAACAAUAUAUUGACACUGAUGGACGAAAGCGUGGGGAGCGAACAGGAUUAGAUACCCUGGUAGUCCACGCCGUAAACGAUGGAUACUAGCUGUUCGGUUUUCGGACUGAGUGGCUAAGCGAAAGUGAUAAGUAUCCC